GGGUGAGUAACGCGUGGGGACCUACCUCUUAGUGGGGGAUAACGGUUGGAAACGACCGCUAAUACCGCAUACGCCCUUCGGGGGAAAGAUUUAUCGCUAAGAGAUGGACCCGCGUUGGAUUAGAUAGUUGGUGAGGUAACGGCUCACCAAGUCAGCGAUCCAUAGCUGGUUUGAGAGGAUGAUCAGCCACACUGGGACUGAGACACGGCCCAGACUCCUACGGGAGGCAGCAGUGGGGAAUAUUGGACAAUGGGGGCAACCCUGAUCCAGCCAUGCCGCGUGAGUGAAGAAGGCCUUCGGGUUGUAAAGCUCUUUCAGAUGCGAAGAUGAUGACGGUAACAUCAGAAGAAGCCCCGGCUAAUUUCGUGCCAGCAGCCGCGGUAAUACGAAAGGGGCUAGCGUUGUUCGGAUUUACUGGGCGUAAAGGGCACGCAGGCGGUCUUGCCAGUCAGGGGUGAAAGCCCGGGGCUCAACCCCGGAACUGCCUCUGAUACUGCAAGACUAGAGACUAGGAGAGGGUGGUGGAAUUCCCA
rnacentral:rRNA from 1 species